rnacentral:lncRNA from 1 species
UCAGCUUUUUAGUUGAAAAAAACAAACAACUUAAUCCUUAUUUUCUGAGAUUCAGACGAAAAAACAAACAUAUUAUUCAGAUUCAGACAUUCAGACCUAUUCAGAAUUCAGACUAAUUCAGAUCUAUUCAGAUUUUAGACAAAAAAAUAAACAUCACCUUAAUUUAUUUUGUUUACAAAAAAAAGUUUUUAUAAUUAUUUUAUGGAUGCGAUCUAAAUCUCUCAUAAUUUAUUUUAUUUGUGAUAAAUAAUAUCAGAGCGGAAUUAUCGUAUAUAAUAUAUACAUGAAUGAGUUUUUUUUUUUUUUUCAAAAGAGUGGGGCCGAAAAUCUUUUGAACUUGCUUUAGUUUUGGUAUAUAUUCAAUCAUGGAGGGCUAAAAAUGGAUACAUCAUUAUCGUCAAAAGUGUUUUCAAAACUGAGAAAGUGAUUUGCGUUUGGCUUUUGCUUUAUAAAACUUUUUUAUUGGAGAUGACAAAAGGUUUUUGUCGUUGGGACCAAUCGAAACAAAGUGAGGCUUUGAUGUGGUAAGGACUAAACGCAGCAUUAUCUUCCUUUUUUAAGCUUUCUUUUUUGACUGACGUUAUACAUAUUCGUGCCCAACAUUAUCCUUUAAUUGUACGUUUAUUUUUAUUUAUUUAUUCAUUUCUUCCUGAAUCUUGCUGCUCGUAAAUGUACGCAGUACGUGCACUUCAUUUUAUUAACUUAAUUUAAUAGUUUGUUUUGAUCGAACUUCUUGCCUCCAAGUAUGUUUAUUGUGGUGAUGACGAAGACUUAAAGAGUUAAAGAGUGUUGUUGUGUCACUGUUAAGAGGCAAAAAUGCCAUAACACUAAUUAAACCAAAUAACUGAAGAAUUAAGAGGGAAUUAACAAAGUUGCAGGCCUUGUAAAAUAAUGUCCGUACAAGCCCACAAAUGAACCAAAGAUUUGGUUGUCCUUCUCCAUCCACGCAUGACUUCUUAGUAGAAUCCGCUUUGUAUCUUGAGCGAUGCUAUUAAGGUAGCGUUUAGAUUUUGAAUUAUAGUAGAAAUCUUGAAAAGUGAGAAUCCUGAGGUUAGGAGUGUAGAAUGAGAGUAGGAGUGUAUUAUUUACUUACACUGAAAUGAGAGUAUGAAAUUGAAAUCAGAAUGACUAUGAGAGUAUUGGUUUGAGUCCUCAUAAACUCAAACUCCCUCAAUUAAAGAAAAAAAUUAUGUGAAGUUAAUUUGUAAGUCCUUCUCCCUUGCGAAAUAUGAGUGGAGCAGAGACAUCCCUCGUUUGUGAGGGUUAUUUGUCCGAGUAUGUACUUCAUAGAAUUUAAUAUAAUAAUAUAAAAUAAUAAAACCAAAUAAGUGAAGAAUUAAGAAGGCAUUAACAAAAUUGCAGGCCUUGUAAAAUAAUGUCCGUACAAGCCCACAAAUGAACCAAAGAUUUGGUCGUCCUUCACCAUCCACACAUGACUUCUUAGUAGAAUCUGCUUUGUAUCUUGAGCGAUGCUAUUAAGGUAGCGUUUAUAUUUUGAAUUGAAGUGUGGAGUGGAAGUGAUAGUAAGUUAUUUAUGGAAUGGGAGUAUGAAAUUGAAAUCAGAAUCCAAAUUUAUGUGUUUACAUAGUCUUGGAUUGAGAGUAAAUUGUUUCAAAUUAUAAUUUUACCCUUAUUUAAAUAAUUGUAAUUUUUAAUUACAAAAUUAAUAAAAAUAUAUUUGAAAAAUAAACAUUUAUUUUAUUAUAUUUGUAAAUUAAUAAUAAUUAUUAAUAUUCUUAAUUAUGUAAAUCAAAUUUUCUAUUAAUUUUAAUUAUGUGAAUAAAAACAUUAUUAAUAAGAACACAAAUGA